GGUGACUAUAGCAUCAGGGUUCCACCUCUUCCCAUUCCGAACAGAGAAGUUAAGCCUGAUCACGCCGAUGGUACUGCGUAACAGUGGGAGAGUGGUAGUCGCCGUUU
rnacentral:rRNA from 1 species